rnacentral:lncRNA from 1 species
CCGUUUUCUCUUUGGCCGUUGCUUCUCCGGAACUGCAGGAGACGAAUGAGUUGGGCUCAGAUGUUCCUGGCCGCCGGCUUGGUCUGCAACAGGAUGCUCCCCUGCCAUGACUUGCUCACAGGUCCUUCCUUUCGCAUCUUCAAGGUAUGUUGAUUCUUCAAGGUAGAUCAGAGCCUGUUCCAUAUGCAUACAUACAAGCUGGGUUUGAAGUAAGCUUCUGUUCCAGUUGCCGAGCUGAAGUAUCACCCGGAUUUCUGUGACGAUCUUCUGAGGUGCGAAUGCUCUAUUUCUACAGACUGCAGGCGCAAUCUCCUAUUGUAUUGUUAGUGGUGAAUCAGACUAUUUUUUUUUCUCUUUGUGCCAUGAUAUUUCUUUUUAAGUUAGCCAUUACAAUCUUAGAAGCCUUGCAUGACAAAUAUAGCCCUUCAUAUAUUUUGCUUCUGUCAGUAUACUUUUGAUGGCCAUGCCCCAUGAUUGUCAAUAUAUUUUGCUUCUGUCAGUAUAGUCUGCAUAAUAUGUUUGGAUGAAUGUUCUUAUAUGAGAUUUUUGUGGUAAGUAGUUAAAUCACCCGUACCGAGUGUAUAUCUAUUUUGACCUGGUUUGAAGAAUGACCAACUGGGUGGCUUCUCCAACUUUUGGUUCAAUUCAUGGGUAAAUUAAAUAUGUAGCUGUGCAGUUCAUCUUGCAAUUGAG